UUUUUUUUCCAAUUUUCACAGGAUUCCCGUUUGUUUAUUCGGUUCAGAAAUGAUUAUCUACCUCAAAAACCCAAAACCUCAGCUCAGCUCAGCUCAGCUCUGCUUGCUGGGGAAAAAUGUUGUCACCAACAUUUGAGUUCCGUCUCCAAUCCGCUACAUCAACCACGACAACUUUUCCAAACCCAAUCAUCCCACUGCAAUCCCAAUCUCUCCAAUCUCGUUUCUUCGCUUCAUCUCCACCUUCCCACCAUAAACAGUGCCGUCUGAAGCAACCUAAGAGAAAGCAGCGGCUGCUACCGGCGAAGUGCGCCAGUAAUGAGGAGGCAGAAAGGUACAUGGAGCAAGAACUGGGGAUACCAAC
rnacentral:lncRNA from 1 species